rnacentral:RNase_P_RNA from 1 species
GAAGCCGGCCGGAUCGUCGCCGCCCCGAGCAAUCGGGGGGGAGGAAAGUCCGGGCUCCGCAGGGCAGGAUGCCGGCUAACGGCCGGGCGCCGUGAGGCGACGGAAAGUGCAACAGAGAGCUGAACCGCCGAUGGCGUGAGCUGACGGGCCGAUUGAAGCGGCCUCGAUCGCGUACAGGCAAGGGUGAAAAGGUGUUCCCGUCGGGGAAGCCCCGCAAGGGGUCGGUAAGAGCGCACCGUGGCGCUGGUAACAGUCGCCGGCAGGGUAAACCCCAUCCGGAGCAAGACCAAGCAGCAGGCGUUGAGACGGCCCGUCGAGUCUGCGGGUAGGUUGCUGGAGUGCAGUGGUAACGCUGUGCCUAGAGGAAUGGCGGUCGCGUGCGGUUCGCCGCGCGUACAGAACCCGGCUUACAGGCCGGCUUCGCAC